rnacentral:rRNA from 1 species
UACUCCUACGGGAGGCAGCAGUGGGGAAUAUUGCACAAUGGGGGAAACCCUGAUGCAGCGACGCCGCGUGGAGGAAGAAGGUUUUCGGAUUGUAAACUCCUGUCGUCAGGGACGAUAAUGACGGUACCU